rnacentral:rRNA from 1 species
CUUGCAUCAUUGUNNAANUGAUGCAGGAUCGACUAUGUCGAAUAAAAUUCUAGGUAGAAUUUUGAUAAUGACAUUGUCNGCCUAUGUGUCUUGACCAANUUNCNUGCCNGCAGUCGCGGUAAUACGUAGAAGACUAGUGUUAUUCAUGUUUAAUCGGUUUAAAGGGUACCUAGACGGUAAAUCAAGCCUAAAAUUAAAUGAAGGGACUAAUUUACUAGAGUUACUUAUGAGGGGGUAUUAAAGUACUGCUGGUGUAGAGAUGAAAUUCUGUCAUACCUCUUUUCAAUAGAAAAAUAAUGGCACAGGUAUAGGCGAAAGCAUCCCCUUAUGUGAUAACUGACGUUGAGGGACGAAGGCUUUGUGUAGCGAACAGGAUUAGAUACCCCAGUAGUCAAAGCAGAAAAUGAUGAAUGUCAUAGAUUAGAUAAAUAAGUUUAUUCUAUAAAUGAAAGUGUAAGCAUUCCACCUCAAGAGUAAUUUGGCAACAUUGGAACUGAAAUCAUUAGACCGUUUCUGAAACCAGUAGUGAAGUAUGUUGUUUAAUUUGAUGAUCCGCAAAAAACCUUACCACAAUUUGAAUAUUUAUAUCUAUUAUUGUUUUUUUUUAAUUUUCUUCUGAUUUGAUUUUUCUAAAGAAAAAAGAAAAAGAGGCGAUAUGAUAUAUUUACAAGCGUUGCACGGCUGUCUUCAGUUAAUGUCGCGAGACUUUGGUUAGUUCCAUUAAAUUAACGUAAACCCUUACUUUAUUUUUAUAUAGAGUAGUUCCCCGCUAUAU